CAAACUAAGAUCUACUAUAUUAUUAAGAUCUACACUGCAGAAUUUACGAUGGCAAUGAAGAGUUUGUCCACAAUAUUAAUGAAGAGCUUCUCUCUAGUCUUUGUGAUCAUGGUCUUGCUCACUGGUUCACAGCUCAGAGUUGUCGAAUGUCGAGCCUUGCGAGGAACGAGAGCUAAUGGAUGUGACCAAGCAGGUGAAGGAGCUGGCUUGAUCGGAGUGACUCAGUUCGGUGUGGCUUCAGAUGAUAAUUCGAGUACUGAUGGGAGCAAUGGUGGUUCUGCUAUGAGGAGUUUGAUGUUCAAGUUGGCUUCUGGACCUAGUAGAAAGGGUAAAGGACAUUAGGUAGCAUUUCCACAAGUUUAUUUUCUUCUCAUUUAGGUACAUAUAAUCUAUACUUUGAAUUUAAGAUACAGUACUCCAUCUCCUCUAAAAUAAGAAGGGUAAAGUAUAAACAGAGAUAUUACUCGAAGUGAAGGAGUAAUUAGUAUAUUGUUCAUUUAAACAUCAUAUGUAAUUUUCCGGUUUUUUGAUUCAUACAUAUAUAUGUAUAUUUUAUCCGGUUCAUUAGUUUUGUGAUCAAUUUAUUGUCAAUAUAGUACUCUUGCACAUAGAGUGCAGUCCAUAUAUACAAAUGAAAUUCUUACUUCCCAGC
rnacentral:lncRNA from 1 species